GGCAUGUUAUCAAGAACACGUGGUAAACUCUUAUAACAAAGGCAAUGACCUUUUCCUCUGUAUUUUAGGAUAAAAUAACAGCUAUUGCCUUGACAUUAUGAAUUCAUUGUAUAAUUCCGACAUGUUACAAAGGAAACAAACUCUCUUAGUAUUCUUAGUGGCUAAAUUUUGCAAAGGGAAGAAUACAUUUAGAUAAUCGUUAAGGAUAACAGAAAUUGCAGCAGUAAAAAAUAAAAGGAUGUCAGAUUCAAAUUCAACCUGUGGGUAUAAUUACUCAGAUACUAAACUUAAUCCCAUUUCCUGAAAUGUGACACCAGCUUUACAGGUACCAUUGCUUAUAAUAUAUCAGGCUGAAGUAUGGCUUUUCCCCGUGCAUCUCGGGGACAGUGUGGUAGAUGAAAGAAAGUGGGCUUUGGAGCCCAUGAGAACAAAGUUAUCCAAAGGACAGCACUUACUAGUACUGUGAUCUCAGAAACAUGACCUACUCUCUUUUGAGCUUCAGAUUAUCAAUUUUCGAAAUGAGAAUAAUCAUACUUACCUACCUGGAGGUUAUGAUGCCCAUGCUAAGGAUGUAAUUCCAGUGCCAGCCAGGAACUUGGAAUAUAGAGGUAGAGAGAAGAUGUGAGCCUAUACAAAUAAAUAGAGUUAUAACUUGGGCUAAGGGCAAACUGGGAUUAGCACUGUGUGAGCAAAUAAUGGGGACAAGGGCAUACAGAGAAAAAAAAAAACAUGUAGGUAGUGACUAGGUACAACAGACAGAAACCUGUUAUGGAAUGGAUUUGCCCCCAAAAUCCAUACUUUGAAAUCCUAACUACCCAUGGGACUGUACUUGGAUACCAGAUCUUGAAAGGAAGAGAGUGGACACCUACACACACAGAAGGAGACCACGUGAAGGCAGCAGGAAGGAGGUCGUUCACAAGUCAUGGAGAGAGGAGACCCACCCUGGCCACACAUUGAUUUAAAGUGUGACAAAAUAAAUAAAUCAAUUUCUGUUGCUUAA